AUACGGAGGAUCCGAGCGUUAUCCGGAUUUAUUGGGUUUAAAGGGUGCGCAGGCGGCCAUUUAAGUCAGCGGUUAAAUCGUGGGGCUCAACCCCAUUCUGCCGUUGAUACUGGGUGGCUUGAUUGCGGUAGAGGUUGGCGGAAUUCGUUGUGUAGCGGUGAAAUGCAUUGAUAUGACGAAGAACACCGAUUGCGUAGGCAGCUGACCAGACCGCAAAUGACGCUCAUGCACGAAAGUGCGGGGAUCGAACAGGAUUAGAUACCCUGGUAGUCCGCACAGUAAACGAUGAAUACUUGUUUUCGGCGAUAUAAUGUCGGAGGCAAAGCGAAAGCGAUAAGUAUUCCACCUGGGGAGUACGCCGGCAACGGUGAAACUCAAAGGAAUUGACGGGG
rnacentral:rRNA from 1 species